rnacentral:rRNA from 1 species
CCUACGUGAGGCAGCAGUGAGGAAUAUUGGUCAAUGGGCGCGAGCCUGAACCAGCCAAGUAGCGUGAAGGAUGACUGCCCUACGGGUUGUAAACUUCUUUUAUAAAGGAAUAAAGUGAGGCACGUGUGCCUUUUUGUAUGUACUUUAUGAAUAAGGAUCGGCUAACUCCGUGCCAGCAGCCGCGGUAAUACGGCGGAUCCGAUCGUUAUCCGGAUUUAUUGGGUUUACAGGGAGCGUAGGUGGGUUGUUAAGUCAGUUGUGAAAGUUUGCGGCUCAACCGUAAAAUUGCAAUUGAUACUGGCAGUCUUGAGUACAGGUGAGGUAGGCGGAAUUCGUGGUGUAGCGGUGAAAUGCUUAGAUAUCACGAAGAACUCCGAUUGCGAAGGCAGCUUACUAAACUGCCACUGACAUUGAUGCUCGAAAGUGUGGGUAUCAAACAGGAUUAGAUACCCGAGUAGUC